rnacentral:misc_RNA from 1 species
AGAAAAAAAAAAAAGAAGGAAAAAAACUGCAGUAGAAAAAAAGGACACUGAAUAUUAUUAUCCAGUAAUUACAUAGUAGAAACCCUAAUAGAUAUAAAUUGCAAAGCUUUUUCAAUAACAACACAAAGCAAGACAUUUGCCUCACCAGCUUUACAUGAUGGUAACCUGAAAAAAUGCAAUGUACAAAUCCAGAUCGCACUCUUACUACUUAAAACGAAUUACUUGUGGAAGUAGACUUGCCUAGAUGAUUCACCUUGUCUAUGUCUCAAACAGAAAAGGAACUUAUCAAAUGGCAUCUUCCUUUUUUUUCUAUGAAGAAAAAAUUUUACAUAAAUGUCCUCAUAUAGAAUGAAAUGGCAUGAUGGUGCUGAUUAAGAUCAGUGAUGAGGCCAUAAAUGAAAAUGAUAGUGUUAGUAUUUAGUACAAAGUAUAGUGCCAACAGAAACACAUAAAGAAGAUUCGGGCAAAAAUAAUUUAGUCACACAUGGCAAAGAAUCACAGGUAGAGAAUAAUCAACUGAUUUAAGAAAAUGGUCUGAUUAAACAAAGGCAAAGGAUGGUAACAAAUGAUGCAUUCACAAAAGAUACAUCCUUUGAGUGAAAUCAUGGAACAUAAUGACAGUAGCCGAC